rnacentral:lncRNA from 1 species
GUAUUAUUUUCUGAUUCUUGUUUCUAUUAUGUUUAAUUUUGUUUUUUUUAUUCAUCAAUUUUUUGACAUUGAAUUUUAUUCUUAUUGUGCGGGUUAUUGGAUUUCCCCUACUGUGUCGAUUCGUUCGUUUACUUCAUUUGAUGAUGAUAUGUAGUUAUUUUAUUUUAUUUCAAGUCCUUCAUAAUGAACAUGAGAGGAAAA